rnacentral:lncRNA from 1 species
CGAUUCGGAUUAAACAAUUAUUAUAAAUUGGAAAACACAAAUUCAAACAUAAAUUACAGAAACAAAUUUAAGAGCAUUGAUUAAACAAUUUUUAUCAAUCAGAAAACACAGUCAAACAAAAAUUACAUAAACAAAUUUAAGCGCAUCGAUUAAAAUAUCUUCUUAUACAACUUUAAUUGUACUUCUAGUCAAUAAUUUUAACUAUUCACACAUUUUUUGGAUUCUAAUUAAACUAUUAUUAUCAAUCGAAAC